rnacentral:rRNA from 1 species
GGCAACGGCCAUACCACACUGCGAAUAUACCGGUUCUCGUCCGAUCACCGAAGUCAAGCAGUGUCGGGUGCGGUUAGUACUUGGAUGGGUGACCGCUUGGGAACACCGCAUGUUGUUGCCU